rnacentral:rRNA from 1 species
CUGCGAUGGCUGUCGUCAGCUCGUGCCGUGAGGUGUUGGGUUAAGUUCCGCAACGAGCGCAACCCCUCGUGAUUAGUUGCCAUCCCGCAAGGGGGCCCGUCUAGUCAGACUGCCUGUGAUAAGCAGGAGGAAGGUGGGGAUGACGUCAAGUCAGUAUGGCCUUUAUGCCCAGGGCUGCACACGUGCUACAAUGAACGGUACAAAAGGAUGCCAAGCCGCGAGGCAGCGCAAAUCCCCAAAACCGUUCUCAGUUCGGAUUGGAGUCUGCAACUCGACUCCAUGAAGCUGGAAUCGCUAGUAACGGCGCAUCAGCUACGGCGCCGUGAAUACGUUCCCGGGGAUU